CCUCCUCCGCCUCUGUCCCGAGCAGCCUUCCCGGGGCCGACACCGAGCGCCAUGAACCGCGUUUCGUGCUGCUCCGCUAAAAGUGUGUCGCCGUGUCCUUUCGAAGGCUAGAUACCGCGAUGUAAACAGAAUAAGUGACUGUCGUCUCGGAAGCAAGCGAAGGCAGCGAAGAGCGAGGGGUGUAAUUGCAAUUCGUGGCAAGAUUGUGCGAGGAUCUGAAACGCGCCUUGCGCAGAUGCGGAUCCUGAUAUAGAAAAUGUUGUGCCAUAAAUGGGAAUUUAUACUGGGGGGGAGGUUUGUUUAUUGAACCUCUAGUUAGGUAAGACAAAAUUAGAAUUACUACUAGGAUUAAUAACAAUAAUACAAUGCUCAGCAUUGACGAAUAAACGGCUACCAUACUCCGGGCUUUGAGCACUUUCCCUGUGGGCUCCUUGUUACUUCCGAGAAGGGUGUAGAGAGAGGCUCCAAAAUGCGCUGUAUUUCUUGCACUUGCUGAAUAAUUAAUAUGUCUUAGAAUAUGACAGUUUUCAUGUUUCAUUCAGAAUGCUCUGUUGAUACUUUGGGUACCAUGACAAGUGUAGGCAUAGUACAGACUCUUGAUUUUCUCAUCCCUCUGUCGUCUGUCAUUCCAUCCUCAUGCAUGUGUACUUAGAAAGGGGAGUUGUGCAGAACAAUGAGUAGGCUUAUCCUCUUUUAAAAAGGCUGUUUUAAAUACACGCAGGAAUUUUGUGACUUCUUGGCAAAUUUUCAUGGGUGAAGUUAGUUUUCACGUUGCAUAUAUUUUAACAGUGAUUAACGACGAUGUAGGAAGUCUUCAAACUAGUUAGUUCUCUACAAUUUCCUAGCAUGAAGGGCUAGCAUUUUACUAUGUCACUAAGCCAAAAAGACAUCUUUUACCCUGAAGAAUGUACUAAAGAAAUUGUAUUGAGAUUUGAAUGAUUAUGUUUAUAAAAAUGUAGAAACUUGCUAAAUGGAAACAUUUAUAGGAAAAAGACUUAAAUAGUAAUGAGGUGUAUUCCAGUCCUGCGUAUAGUAUUAGGCCAGACACUUAUUUUUAUAAUCAUCUGCAUUUAUAUAGAUUAUACUGUACUAUUUUAUACAAUCUAAUAUUGUAUGUGUAUGAUGUAUGUAUCAUAUCAUACAUAUUUAAAUGGAUUCUCAAAGUUACAUAAAUGUGUUAACCACACAAAUGAUAUGCGUGUACAUGAGUGUAUAAAGAAGUUAAAUAAGAGAUUAAAAAAAAGUGUAUAUUCUUCUUCCCGAUCAACUAAUUUUAAAUUACCUGUCUUCCUGAUAAUUGUAAAUUAAGAUAAAAUUGACAUAUUAUAUGUACUGCUUUGUUAAUUCAGUCAUGGAUGUAUUCAGUGUUACACCAAAAUGUUCCAUAUACAUUGAGAGAGUCUAUUAGUGUUGGGGAUGUUUUUUGUGCUUCUUACACAUUAAGUCUUUGCAAAAUUGAUGAAGAAUUUGAAAUCUUUUUUUAGUGAAUUUGAUUUUUCCAUUUCCUCUGCUUAUUUGUAGUGUUUUCUAAUACUUCCUUGUAUUCUGUAGGAUGCACAUCCUGUAUUGCAUCUCAUCCAGCUGUGUUCGGUCUUUUGCAAAGAAAAACAGAAAAGGAAUAUAAUACAACUGAACAAAAAUACUCAAGCUAAAUGGACUACAAUCCUCAGAUUUGGUAACAAAGCCUCUGAGAGAAGAAAAAAGAAAAAAGGUAGGGGAAAAAAAUGGAACUGGGAAUUUCAUUCGUAUCAAUGUGGUACUGGUCAGGCACCACCAAAAGAAAUGGUUAAUGAGGAAAGAACAAUGUGAUCUGAGAUUGUCUCUGUCUAUUUUGCCUUUUUUCUCCUAACUCAAAGUCUGUAGGCCAGAUUCUGUCUUUUAUUUUUAGUGUAGUUUCAAUGAUUUUCUUGACAUUACCAAGUUUCCCUAUGCUGGUACUAACUUCAUACCAGCUGAACUUCUCUACAUUCAAUUGCAAAGUUCUAGCCAGACUUUGGAGAACUACUUAAAUAAUUUCAUCCUCCUUAAAAUUGACUAAAUCUAUCUUCACCACAACUCAAUCUGAAAUCGUGGCACAAGAAAUAGAGGAUGAAUUCUAGGGCUACACAAGCAUAAGUAAGGAAAUGAGCAUAAUUCAAAAGUUGUUGAAAAGUUCUAUUUUCACAAAUUUUCUUCUUGCAGGAUUCACCCAUUCUUUCUUUCUGACUUUGUGCAGGGCCGAAGUGAAAUUUCAAUAGUUUCAAAAAGCUGUUGAGGGUUAACCUCGGACACAGUUUCUAUAAAUGAUGUUGAGCGUUGAUUCUGUCCACAGAGCAAUCCUUAAAACUGGUUUUGAAAAAAACCCAAAGCCUUCAACUCUGUUUUACAGUAGCAAAAGAAGAAAUUAGAUUUAAGUAACAAAAGAACAUCUUCUAAACCCUGAAUUUUUUUGUCUUAAUCUAAGAAAUCCCUAAGUAGUUUUUAUUCAUGCACAAGAUUUUCUCAGAAAUACGUAGUACACAUUUUUGUGCUAUUUUUGUCAAUUUUUUAGUAUAAUUUUAAAUAUAAAAUUCAGUGGCUUUGUGACAUUUCACCUGUAAGUCAUGUAUGUGCAAUAAAUCAUUAUAUCAGACUUUGCAUUUAGUUAUGCAGAUGUAAUGGCACUUACAUUCCAAAUCUGGACCAGAGGUGAAUUUUCCAUACACUGUCAAUUUCAGAUGAUCUGGUGCAUUUAUAAGUCAGAGUAUCUGUAUCAUAGUAAAUAAAUAUUAUUGGUUCAUAAGGAAAUUGUAGAGAAUUGGGACUGGCUUGUUUGAAAAGCAUGCUCAUAUAAAAAGUUCUUUUUCUAGUUAAAAUGCCAGCUUGGUUUUGGGUUUUUAAAAACUAUUUUAGUUAACACAAAUCAAAAAUAGUGCCAUAAAGCUUCACAUUUUAAAGUCUUUACUUAUAUCAGAAUGGUAAUAAAAAUUCACUGUCAAGUUUUCUCUAGGGAGAUUUAAAGUUGUACUGUGCUAAAUAGAUACAUAGAUCAUAUUUUCCAAAUCUAUGACUUCUCAAUACACUUUGAGAAACACUGUACGGAAAUCGAGGUAGGACUGUGUGUCAUCUUGCAUUUAAUGGAAAUGAAAUACAUUCAAUAGAACAGCACAAAUUAAAUUCACAUUAAAUAUACAGUGAACAUAAAAUGCCUUUGCCUUUCCCGAGAAGCUGCAGCAGAGUUGUAGAGGGUCGAAAACAUGCUGCAUUUGGGUCCUGUGAGAUUGCUUCCCCUGAUAAACCUGAAUUUGGAAACUGCUUUACUGAGGAACAAGAGCUGUUGGAGAGCAUGCUGUCUCUUUGUUGAUUGUUCUUCAGAGUCUGUUAGUGUAUCACAUUGUGCUGUGGACCUUCCCCUGGGAAGCUGGAGCAGGACAAGCCAGUGCCAUCAUCCUGUGAUAGCAUCUGGAGAUAUUCUGAAAGGAGAUAAUUUGCCUUUCUCACCCAUGAAUUAAAGGAGUGUCUUUGAGUUCGGGUGCAAAAACAAGUAUCUGCAUAUAUAAGCUCCUUGUUGACUUCAAUUCUUUGUAAGAUUUAAAGCUUCGAUUUUCCUAGAAUAUUUGUCAUACUAAAAAAUGUGCACAGAAGAGCCUGACCAUAAGGGCAGCUAAUUCGUAUUUUAGUUAAUUAGUUGUAAGUGACAGAUAAACUCUAGCAAUAUGCUCCAGUGAGGUUAGUAUCUUCCUGUUCUUAUUCAGCACAAGUGACAUCCAAUCACUUCCAUCUGUGACAGUCCUAGAUUCUUCUUUCAGCCCAGCUGAGGUGAAAAAUCAGACCCAGUAGAUUUCCUGUUUCCAUAUAUUACCUCCUCUUACAGUCAGUCUCAAUCUCUCAAUUUCCUUCUGUGAAAGAGCAUGAAAGCAUCUCUUCUCUCAAUCUCCCUUCUGUGUUAGAAGGUAGGAGGGGAAAGGAUAAAAGAACAGAUGCAAUAACCCUUAUUUAGUUCUGAAAGAGAAACUACAGAUUGCAAUGGCAGGAGUUCCAGUGCUUUCACCUCUAGAUCCAGGAAGUGUAGUGAUGUGGAGCAUCACUACUGACAGGAAAGCUGCCAAAGUGUAUGGGAGAAGGUGUUCCUUGAAGUAGAAUAAUUUUAAGAAUUGCAUCUCUCAGGACUACAACCCUCUGCAGAUUUCCCUCUUUGUCAUCUUGCACGUAUUCUCAUACUCUGUCAAGUUUCUAUGCAGAUAUACUGCCUCUUCUGUCCUGUCUGUGGAUUUACCUCUCCCCAAAACUGAUCUCUCAUUAUCAAGUAAUUAUUAGUAACUAUUAAAGUAAACCAGAUUUCUGACAAGUAAUACACAUACUAAUUUGUGGAAGCUUGUUUUGUCCUGAGAUACUUGAUGCUUGCCAGAUACACUAAAUCACAAGACCUUGCAUAUUUUAUCUCCUUUAAAUAUGAAAUUACAUGUGAUAGUAUGUUUCAUGGGUAAGUAAUGAUUUAUUCAGAAUGUGUUUCCUUUUGGCUUGAAUUUGCCAACUGUAGUUUCAGGAUGUGAUUUCUUUAGUAUUUACCAUAGUGUGACAAAGGUUAAUAGAAGUACCUAAUAAACUGUCUUUAUACAGUCAAUUCUGGUUUGUCUAGAGUAAUAAUCUUCUAAUACAAUUGCAGGGAUGAUGUAAAUCCUCUGUAAAAUUAAGCUACAUGGUUGUAUAAUGAAGAAAAAAGGCUUUGCUGUAGUAGACCCUAAAGGGCAAGCUAACUCCUGCCUGGAUCAUAGCCUUGGAAUAGGCACGCACUGAAGAUCCUGCUACCUGGCAAAUCAACCUGCAAAUGAACCUGCCAGUUGCCACAGGGGAACCUUGCAGUGACUGAACAAGAGGCUGGCAUGUGUCAUCUAUGUGUACAACCAGACAGCAAGUGUCUCCAUUAACCACAACUCUCAAUUCAUCUUAGGUGGCAAACUUGACUACAGCCAAAACUCAAGCUGAAUUUCCAAGGAACUAGAUUUGAAUAAGUAGAUUGAAAAAGAAAACAAAGUUCAUGGAAGGAAGAUAUUCAAUAUGCAGUGGCAAGUUUAUUGAUGACAUGGUUAUUGUGCUGAAAAUGACAAAUCUGUUGUUUGUGUAGAAGACAGAAUUUAUGAACAACAAAUUGCAUGAUCUUUUGUUUUACUCUAUUUAGAAAACAGCAUUUAUGAUAGUUUAAAUCUAGGCUGAUGGCUUGAUUAAUUUAGACAGUUGAUGCUUAAGGUAUUGUGGAGAAAAAAACCUUUCUGUUUUAUUCAGGAAUAAGUUACCUCAUAUUUCAGGUGGAGAGUAAUUAUGUUGUGUCACUUUUUACCCAUUUGCUGUUUGUCUUUAUACAAUGUUUGCCAUGCUGAGGACAGUAGAAGCUUGCUAAAAUAUGGUGUGAUCUUCUAAGUGUAUAAAAACAAAUUUGAAAAGGGACGAAACCAAAGCAAAUGGUAAUAAAGGGAAGUGCAUUUAGUGAACAGACAAAUAAGUAUUUAACGAAACUUUCUUUUAAAUGUAUUUUCUUUCCCAGGUAUUUAAACAGUGGUAUUUUAUUUAAAAAAUAAACUUACUGAACAUCUGUAAAUGUUAGAAUGUGCUACAGGUCUCUCUGCAGUAUGCAGUGGUCUCUUCUGCAUUUUGGUGUGGUAUAACCAGAAUUAAUGUGGCCAAACAGUGAAUUUUCACAGAGAUUCAUGGGUAAGUCUAUGCUAACUUGUGAUUGCUGAUGAUUUUUGAGACUGAAAGAUGUGAUAUGUGAAAAAUGUAAAGGUUAUUUGUGCAGAUAGUUACUGUUUUAAAAAGUUCCAUAUAUUUUAACACAUAUAAGUAUUUCUAAAAAAAGAGGAUUAUUUCCAUUUAUUCCAUUGUAUCUGUGUCUGUUAUGGACUAGAAUCUCUAUUGUAGGACUUAAAAAAACGCCCACAUACUGACAAUAGAAAUAACUUCAUAACAUGCAUGAGGAUCACAGACAUCACUUCUGGCCUAAAAUAUAUUGAUCUAUCCAGACUUUAACAAAAGCAGUCAGUGAUUCAUUACUCAAAACAUAUCUAAAUGUUUGAGAACUAUUGUUAACCAAUAGCCUAAUCAACAAAAAAUGAAGAGGAGUUACUGAGCAGUGUUCAUUCUAAGCAUUGCAUCUGCUUAAUGAUUCACAUGCAAAUGUUAUCAAAAAGGUCCUUUAGCUCGCUCUUUCUCUGCAGAGUUCAUUUGAAUAUGCUGCAUUUGAAUUAUUCUUUUUUGAUUAGCCUAGCUCGACUGAAGGUGUAUAUUGCACAGUGGUAGCAUGUGAGUGCUCAGGGCUGGCCCAGUGCUUGGUGUACGCAGCAGGAAGUCUUUGGGGCCAGAAGCAUAAGCACAAACAAAAUAUUGGUGGAAAAAAUCCUUCUUUCUUAUGGAUAUACAGAAAAAAUUACAAGACCCUGGAGACUGAGCAGAGAACCACAUCUGACUAUGUUGUCCCUAGCCUGCUUGUAUGAGUAGCUGCUGAGCUGUGUUUCUUUAACUCUUUACCUGUAUUAUUUCUCAUGCUUGCAGCCUAAAACUGAAAGCCUCUGUGUAGGCAUGUUAAAGGAUUUCUUGCUAUGAAUAGGACAGAAGUUAGGAGAAGAACUGGAAUUGAGGCAGUCCCAUAGCAUACCUUGGGAUGAUUGGAAAGCAUGAUAUCACCUUACAGGAAUGUGUGGUGUGAGCUGAUUUUGAUGCGCAAUCAGCAGGCAGUGCAUGCCUUGCCACUCUUCUCCCAUAUGCACACUUGUGCCUUCUGUGGGUACAGUGCUGUACCAUGCAGGCUGAAGGCAGUUUAGUCAAGAGAGAAGCUCUGAUGUGCCUUUGAGGAAAAUACAGAAGAUUCUCCAAUUGUGCCUUCUGUUGUAUAUUUUGAACAAGCAUGCUGAAAUCGCCACAGCUUUUAGG